CAAAUGCCCGUCUUCUAAUGGAAGA
rnacentral:misc_RNA from 1 species